GAUGAACGCUGGCGGCGUGCCUAAUACAUGCAAGUCGAGCGAACAGACGAGGAGCUUGCUCCUCUGACGCUAGCGGCGGACGGGUGAGUAACACGUGGAUAACCUACCUAUAAGACUGGGAUAACUUCGGGAAACCGGAGCUAAUACCGGAAAAUAUAUUGAACCGCAUGGUUCAAUAGUGAAAGACGGUUUUGCUGUCACUUAUAGAUGGAUCCGCGCCGCAUUAGCUAGUUGGUAAGGUAACGGCUUACCAAGGCGACGAUGCGUAGCCGACCUGAGAGGGUGAUCGACCACACUGGAACUGAGACACGGUCCAGACUCCUACGGGAGGCAGCAGUAGGGAAUCUUCCGCAAUGGGCGAAAGCCUGACGGAGCAACGCCGCGUGAGUGAUGAAGGUCUUCGGAUCGUAAAACUCUGUUAUUAGGGAAGAACAAAUGUGUAAGUAACUAUGCACGUCUUGACGGUACCUAAUCAGAAAGCCACGGCUAACUACGUG
rnacentral:rRNA from 1 species